rnacentral:tRNA from 1 species
CGUUGUAGCUCAACUGGUAGAGCAACUGACUUGUAAUCAGUAGGUUGGGGGUUCAAGUCCUCUCGACG